rnacentral:rRNA from 1 species
UGCCUGGAAUGGUUUAUGUUUCAAAUAAUUUAUUGCCGUAGGAUGGGACUGCGGCCUAUCAGUUUGUUGGUGAGGUAAUGGCCCACCAAGACUAUUACAGGUACGGGCUCUGAGAGGAGUAGCCCGGAGAUGGGUACUGAGACACGGACCCAGGCCCUAUGGGGCGCAGCAGGCGAGAAAACUUUGCAAUGUGCGAAAGCACGACAAGGUUAAUCCGAGUGGUUUCUGCUAAAGGAACCUUUUGUCAGUCCUAGAAACACUGAUGAAUAAGGGGUGGGCAAGUUCUGGUGUCAGCCGCCGCGGUAAAACCAGCACCUCAAGUGGUCAGGAUGAUUAUUGGGCCUAAAGCAUCCGUAGCCUGCUUUGUAAGUUUUCGGUUAAAUCCAUACGCUCAACGUAUGGGCUGCCGGGAAUACUGCAAAGCUAGGGAGUGGGAGAGGUGGACGGUACUCGGUAGGAAGGGGUAAAAUCCUUUGAUCUAUUGAUGACCACCUGUGGCGAAGGCGGUCUACCAAAACACGUCCGACGGUGAGGGAUGAAAGCUGGGGGAGCAAACCGGAUUAGAUACCC